UAUUUUGACAUUUCUGGAAGUCUUCGUGCAGUGCGGUGUGCUUCACGCCCUCACUUCCCUCAGCCACUCCGACAUCAUGGCGGACGCCGAUUCUUGGGACGCGGAUAGUUUCGAGACCGAGGAGCCUAUCAAAAAGGCGGCAGUUCAUGACAAAUGGGAGGGCGAGGAUGAAGACGACGACGUGAAAGAUAAUUGGGAUGAUGAUGAAGAGGAAGAAAAGAAGGAGGAAAAAAAGUCAGGUACAGUGAUAUGAAAUGCAUAAUUUGGUAGGUGACAAACUGAA